GCAAGUCGAGGGGUAACAUAAGUGCUUGCACUAGAUGACGACCGGCGCACGGGUGAGUAACACGUAUGCAACCUACCUUUUAGAGAGGGAUAGCCCAGAGAAAUUUGGAUUAAUACCUCAUAAUGUUUUUAACUCGCAUGAGUUUUAGAUUAAAACUUCGGUGGUAAAAGAUGGGCAUGCGUUCUAUUAGUUUGUUGGUGAGGUAACGGCUUACCAAGACUACGAUAGAUAGGGGUUCUGAGAGGAUGAUC
rnacentral:rRNA from 1 species